rnacentral:tRNA from 1 species
GACCGCGUAGCUCAGUUGGACGAGCAUUGGGCUAGUAUUCCAAAGGUCGUAGGUUCGAAUCCCGCCGUGGCCA